GCCAUCAUAGCUCAGUGGCAGAGCACUGGUCUUGUAAACUUUCAGGGGUCGUGUGUUCGAUCCUACGCUGGUGGCU